rnacentral:rRNA from 1 species
UAUGGAGAGUUUGAUCCUGGCUCAGAGUGAACGCUGGCGGCGUGCCUAAUACAUGCAAGUCGAACGAUGAAGCUUCUAGCUUGCUAGAAUGCUGAUUAGUGGCGCACGGGUGAGUAACGCAUAGGUCAUGUGCCUCUUAGUUUGGGAUAGCCAUUGGAAACGAUGAUUAAUACCAGAUACUCCCUACGGGGGAAAGAUUUAUCGCUAAGAGAUCAGCCUAUGUCCUAUCAGCUUGUUGGUAAGGUAAUGGCUUACCAAGGCUAUGACGGGUAUCCGGCCUGAGAGGGUGAACGGACACACUGGAACUGAGACACGGUCCAGACUCCUACGGGAGGCAGCAGUAGGGAAUAUUGCUCAAUGGGGGAAACCCUGAAGCAGCAACGCCGCGUGGAGGAUGAAGGUUUUAGGAUUGUAAACUCCUUUUGUUAGAGAAGAUAAUGACGGUAUCUAACGAAUAAGCACCGGCUAACUCCGUGCCAGCAGCCGCGGUAAUACGGAGGGUGCAAGCGUUACUCGGAAUCACUGGGCGUAAAGAGCGCGUAGGCGGGAUAGUCAGUCAGGUGUGAAAUCCUAUGGCUUAACCAUAGAACUGCAUUUGAAACUACUAUUCUAGAGUGUGGGAGAGGUAGGUGGAAUUCUUGGUGUAGGGGUAAAAUCCGUAGAGAUCAAGAGGAAUACUCAUUGCGAAGGCGACCUGCUGGAACAUUACUGACGCUGAUUGUGCGAAAGCGUGGGGAGCAAACAGGAUUAGAUACCCUGGUAGUCCACGCCCUAAACGAUGGAUGCUAGUUGUUGGAGGGCUUAGUCUCUCCAGUAAUGCAGCUAACGCAUUAAGCAUCCCGCCUGGGGAGUACGGUCGCAAGAUUAAAACUCAAAGGAAUAGACGGGGACCCGCACAAGCGGUGGAGCAUGUGGUUUAAUUCGAAGAUACACGAAGAACCUUACCUAGGCUUGACAUUGAGAGAAUCCGCUAGAAAUAGUGGAGUGUCUGGCUUGCCAGACCUUGAAAACAGGUGCUGCACGGCUGUCGUCAGCUCGUGUCGUGAGAUGUUGGGUUAAGUCCCGCAACGAGCGCAACCCCCUUUCUUAGUUGCUAACAGGUUAUGCUGAGAACUCUAAGGAUACUGCCUCCGUAAGGAGGAGGAAGGUGGGGACGACGUCAAGUCAUCAUGGCCCUUACGCCUAGGGCUACACACGUGCUACAAUGGGGUGCACAAAGAGAAGCAAUACUGCGAAGUGGAGCCAAUCUUCAAAACACCUCUCAGUUCGGAUUGUAGGCUGCAACUCGCCUGCAUGAAGCUGGAAUCGCUAGUAAUCGCAAAUCAGCCAUGUUGCGGUGAAUACGUUCCCGGGUCUUGUACUCACCGCCCGUCACACCAUGGGAGUUGUGUUUGCCUUAAGUCAGGAUGCUAAAUUGGCUACUGCCCACGGCACACACAGCGACUGGGGUGAAGUCGUAACAAGGUAACCGUAGGUGAACCUGCGGUUGGAUCACCUCCUU